UAGUCUAUAAGGUGCCACAGGAUUCUUUGCUGCUUUUACAGAUCCAGACUAACACGGCUACUCCUCUGAUACUAGAUCUAUUUAGACUAUCUGAUCUUCUAGGUCAGACUGGAUAGAAGAUUAGAAAGAUCUAGACUAGGUCAGGCUAGAUCGAAGGUCCCUCCUGGCCUGGGAAUCUAGGAGUCUGCUGCUGAGAUGGAGCAGGGGUGCCAUAGGGUGAUUUUCACCCCCGGGCUUAUUCUCCUUCCCAGAGGGUACUCAGAGCUGAGCGUCCAGCCAUGGAGCCACCAUGCAAGUCCAAUAGCCUCAUGGCCCAAGCUCUUCGCUGCACAGCAGGAGAGCUGGGUUUGAAUCCUGAAAUUGCCUACAUUCCCUAGAUCAGCAGGGGAGGGGGCAUGUUCAGCCUUUAACGGGGGCAGAGAGCCACACUGCUGGGGCCUCAGAGGGGCCAGAAGAAGGGUCAGAGAGCAAGGUUGGGGUCAGCCAAGCCAUGUCAUUCUGCUACAGUCUCCCCCAGGCCCAUUCCCACACUGCAGAACCCAGCACCUCGGCUGCUGUUAGCUUGUUCCCCUCCAGGGCUGGGGCACUGGAGGGGCCAUGGAUUGAGCUGGCAAGGGAAGUUCAAUUCCUGUUUUAUCCUAAAGUGAAAACAGAGUCUCUGGGCAUCUUGUGAAGCUGAGUUGUAGGUUGCCUUCCGUGCUCAUGAUUGUACAGUGGGUCUGGGGAAGUCCCACUCCAGCUGGAGAAGCUGCAGAUCCAUGUUCUGGCAGAACUGGCCAGGCCAAUCCUUGACGCCAGGGAUACCCCCCCACCCAGCAUCUUUUCGCCAGAGGCUCUGGGCUCUGCUCAUGAGCACAACUGUCUGUCUCCACUGAAAACUUUGCCCACGUAGGAAUGCAAAAGCCACAGCUGCUGGUAGGCUAAAGCCCCAUCGGUGCUCCAGGGAAUUGGUGCUACCUGGGAGUAGCUCAGGAGAUGCUGCUUCCCAGCAAGGGGCUGAUACGUUGUCCAGGGCCACGGCUCUAAUCUAAACCCUUGAGUCAGCUGGGUAGCUUUCAAGGGCACCAUUUGCAAGGCCCUAGGUACCCCAGCGCUUUCUCCUCGCUAGACAAUGAGGUCACGUUAGAACACGACCUUGAGGAGUCAUGUUAACGGUGCGGACAGGGACAAGUCAGGUUUAACAUCAUGCCAUCUGCUCAGGGGUUACCCUAUGGAUCUGGUAGGGUUCACCCAUGACCAGCUUCUGUAACACUAAACACAACAUGCCCUAUCUACACUGGAUGCUUAACAUCCUGUUCCUUACUUCCAAGCAGACAAGCCCUUGCAGUGGGAACCUUUCUGGGUUCUGACUGGAAAAUGGGCACAAGCUGCUCUGUUCUGAUCCAGAGCCCAGCUGUUUGGGGCCAGAGCUUGGAUUCAGGCCCAUCUGAGCCUUCCUGACCACUGGGAACAGGAAGGUUGUUAUAAAACCGGGCUUGGGGCAGACCGUUCUCAGACUGUGCUGGGGAACGUGAGUACGGCUGGCUUGGGGGGGGAGGAUGGUAGCAUGGGCCAUUGGAGACCCGGAUUCAUGUCCCUGCUCUGCCGAAGGCUCCCUGGAGUGACUCACUGAGGCCCAGAUACCCCAAGGCAUUUAGGUUCCUAACUUCUGUUGAAAUCCCCAGGAAUCAGGACCCUAAAUCCCUUUGCAGAUCUGAGCCAUAAGCUCUCUGGGCCUCCAUUCCUGACCUGCAAAUGAGGCUAGCAGCACUGCCCCAUCUCCCAGGAUCGAGAUGGGCUCGGAGACUACAGUACCGGGGUCAGGCUAUCACAGACAGAGAGAAACCUAGUUACCACCUGCUUGUCACCUGACAUGGGUAAAACCCAGCCCCUCUCAGUGCAUAUGGGCCCUUCCGUGGGGUUGGACUGGGCCUCUGAGCUGCGUGACGGCCCAGCUCUGUCCGAGACCGCGGUGCAGGGGGUGCUGUAUGCUAUGGGUGGAACUGGGUUGUGCCCAGGCUGGCAAGCACCUGCGUCAAGCGAAAUCUAAGUGAGCCAGGCAACCCUGACAGCACGUUCCCGGGGAAAGUCAGAGACAGCCCCGGAGUGCAGGCCAAUGCAGCCAUCCUGCCUUGUUCCCCUCACUAGUCCUAUUGAAUACACUAUUAUUAAUACAAUUAAUUCAAUACUUGUAUUUAUUACUACAGGUAUCUGUUUGGUGCCCAUCACCACAGCAUCUGGGCAGCAUCCUAGACUUUUGAGACCACUUGCGCCAUGCCGUGUUACUAGCCGCCAAGGAAGCCUGGGGCUGGGCGGAGGCCCUGCUAUCUUGCUGUCCUCAAAUGUUUCCUCACCUGGGGAGAAUCUGGCCAGACUUGAAGUACUGGCUCUGAUUGCACCUGGCUAGAGCAGAGCCCCUGCAUGGCCUGGGAGGAGCUGCAGCUCGACUGCCUCCCGCCUACCUCUGGGGCUAGAUGCAGCCGGAGGCUGGUUUUUGGGCUUGUUGCCGCUGCAGGGAGCUUUGCAGGCUGUUUCUGCAGGCGGCACCUUUGGGACUCUCAGCAGCUGAUAAGAAAUUGCACAGCUCGGCUAACUGGAGAAUCCAAGGUGCCGCUGCGCUGAAACCAGGGAUGGGGCUGCCAGCUCUUGCCAAGGCCAAAGUCUAGAGCACAGCGAUUAUCCCUCUGCUGAGGAAGGCCCCGUCUGGCGCUAACACCCACCAAUCAGCUCCUACAGUGCCAGCGUCGCUGCCUUUAGAGUGGGGACUCGGGCAGGGCUGGUGGGAACGAGGGAGGUCGAUGGCUAUGCCAGGCCCCGUGAACUCCGAGGCAGAGGAGACCAGCCCACGCCCUGGGGCAGGCGGAGCUGAAGGUCACGCUCCAGUCACUGGCCAGUGCUGUCACGUCUGUCUGCAGGGGUGGAACUGCCCACGUGUGCCCCCUCCCUGGGGCCCAGAGCUGGUGGAGCUGCACCCUAGGGUUGUGACCCCUACAAGGGUUUGGGGGGUUGCUGCUGCCCAGUCCUUGUCAUAUUGCUAAAUAGGAGAUGGGGUCCCAGCUGGCCGGGGGGUGGAUCGCAGCAGGGGGCAAUGUGGGAAAGGUAGAGAAACCUUGGUCUAAUGCACCAGCAUAAGAACAUACUGCUUCUGGUGGCCUUUGUCUGUCUUUGCUCAGAUGACACCUUAGCAGCUGGGAGAGACGCAGCCCUGGGGGGACUGAGGACAGGUACUGUGGGACGAGGGGUCCGAUGGGUCGGCGGGCCAACUGGUAGCACUCUCCUCCGACAUCUCGAAGCCACACUCGUGACUUUGGAAGCCAAUGGGGUCAUUUUUGAUUGAUGCCGUUUGAAUGCUUGGUGUUAGCAACGCUGCUGCUAUUAACUCUCCAUCCUGAGGCUUUCUCUAAGUGGAAGGUGGUGAGCUGCAGGGACAGAUUCCUCCCUGCCCUGAGCUCUCUGGUGUUACUUACCCCAUGUGCAGAAUGUGGGGGAGAUGCAGGGGACAAGGAGCUAUGAAGGAGCUAGGGAGAGGCCGGUCAGAGCCAGGGGGUCAUGUUCAGCCCUCGUGUAAGCAGCUGGGGCUGGGGUCUGCGCCACACCCAUGGCAGAUGGCCUCGUGGGGCCAGAACAUCCCACAGGUAGAUGAAGCACCAGGGUUCUCCCUGUCCUCUGUCCAAGUGUGCAAAGGGCUUCAGAGUGCUGUCCCCACUCCGUACCCACACGGGGGGGACUGGACUCCUUCGGCAGAUGCCAGGGCCCAGUGGACUGUCAUGUUCAGGCUAGGCAGUGUCCAGGGCGCAGCCCACGGAAGAGCAGAGUCACAGCCCCCAAGUAUUUGCCAACCUGUUUUUCUAACUCGGCUCAGCCAAACAUACCUUAAUAGCUGCUUGUAGCAGGAGGGAUAGACAGAGAGCUUUGUUUGUGCCCCAGCAGGGAGCGAGAACGCCCAGCGAUAAAUCACUUCAUUGCACCAAUUGUACUUGAUAGCACUGAGCCAGCGAGCAGAUAACAGAACCCCCAGACCUCCAGUUACAAGUAGAAAUGGGAGCGGUGAGGGCAGCUUGUUUAAGGUGAUCUGAGUUUUAAUGGGUUUGGUGACGCUUACUCUGCAAUGGGCAUGAUAAAGGAUGCUUUAGACUGGCCAUAGUCUGUCUAUCUUCAUCACUCUGAUCAGCUGUGACCUACAAAGCACUGGGUUUGUGCCUGAGUUUAUUAAUAAUGAUCAUCUCCCUAAUACGUCAUUCUUACCCAGAACGUCUCAUCUGUAAGCUGCAGGAACCUCAUGAAGAGGGUAAAUAAUAUCCUCCCUGUUUUACAAAUGGGGAAACUGAGGCCCGGAGCUGGGAAAUGAUUUGUCCAAGUCUGUUUUGCUUCUUGAUGAUGUAUAAAAAUUCCCCAUCUCUCCCCCCACAAUCCCCUGUACGUUAUGGGGGUACAGUUCUGGAUCCUAAAGGUUUUUUUUUCUCUUGCUUCUUAAUUACCUCAGAAAUAUAAAUAUUGUCAGACCUCGUCUCCCCUGGAUUCAUGGGAGGGCUUUUUGGUCUGCCUUGGAGAAAUGUAUUGUAACCUCUCCCACCUCAGUUAAAGGGGGUGGGAAUUCUGAGUCUUUAACCAAGACGUCCUGUUGCCUAAGGCUUCACUAGGCAUCCGAGUGAAACAGGUGCUAACAGAAACGGGUCCCGAGGUUUCAAAAGUGCCUUUGUGAGGUUGGGGGGGGCGCUUCCACUUUUGGAGGCCCAACGUGGGAUGCCUUAAAGGGGUUGUCAGAAGGGGCUGAGCCGCUGCCCUCUGAAAAUCAGGCUCUUGUUAAAGGCGCUUAGGUUGGGCCCUGGACUCACUAGCACUUUUGAAAGUCUUGGCCAAAGGACUGUAAACAGGCUGACUACAAUUUCCUUCCCUUCCCUUCCCAGCUGUGGGUCUCAUAUCGCUCAUCAUCCUCUCCUAACGAAAUCCACCCCAACAAGCGGAGCUUCUCACCAUCACCCUGAUUCGGCUGUGUGUUCCCUCCCUGCGCUCCGUCUGGCUUUAGACUGUUCACUCUUUGGAGCAGGGUCUGCUACUCGCCUGUGUCUGUUUAGCAUCCAGCCCAACCAGGCUCCAGGGCUGGCUGGUUCCUAGCCACUACAGGAAGAAACGCAAUCAUUGAGCUAGUUCCCCAGGCCCCACAGAGGCGUCCAGGGUUUUAGUGCUGCUCCUCGCCCCUAUCCUCUCUAGCAUCGGUUCCAGUCAGUCUUGGCCCUUUCCUGGUUUCCAUCAAUGGCAAACAGACCAUAGCUUUACAAAACCAAACCUUUGCGAACAGACCACAACACCCAAUAAAGCCUGGGAGCCACUGCCACCCAGUGGAUGAUAGAGAUGACACAUUGCUGGGCUGCAAAGCAGAGAACCCACAACAGCUGAUGCCCCGUGACAGUUCAGCAAAUGCAUAGCAGGCCAAUCUUGAAUCCUCCAGCAUGCGUGUGUAAUAAGUUAGCUAUUGCGUCCAAGUGCGCAGGGGGAUACCCCCGCCUUGUACACAAGCUGGAUCUUCAGAGGCCCUGGGGAGCAAAACAAAUGAGUGCACAACAUCCUCUUUGAGUCAGGUCAUCUUUCGACAUCUUUGUCCUCCUGCAGGAUUAUAGCCAUUAAAUAGUUUGCAUGGUUUGUUUCUGUGCAUGGUAAUCUCCUUCAGUCAGCAUGGAAACUAGGUGUCAGACAGGCCUUGAUGGCUCAUAAGAUCAGGAGUACCUGGUGCCCUCCUUUAUAUCCCUCCCACACAGUAGGAUCUAUAGUUAGUUGUUUUUUUUUUCCCCCCCUCUCCCAUGGUUUCAAACACGUGGAUUGAAAUUGUCCACUCUGGGGCUCUGUAGAGUACGUGAGCUGAGGCCGGCAUUCUCGGUCUCGGUGCUAGUGAUCAGGUGUCCAAUUUGGCCACGGUAAAAAAUCUGGCAUUCAAAGAUGGUCCGAGUAGAUUCCCCAUGUGCCCAACUGGGAAAUAGCCCUGUUACUGUUCAGAUCAUGUGUGCAGGCCUCUGUGUGUUUGGCCAGACAGGAUGGAGUUAAAUCAGAGGAGGCUGUAAAUGCGGAAACCUGCAGGCCAGGAGCAAUGGCGAAGAUAAGACAGCCCCCUCCCAAGGCCAUGCCUCGAUCAAAAGAGACCUAAAGGCACUGGAAAAGGGAGAGGAGGAGUGUGAUAGGAUGGGAGGAGAGGGGAGUUAGGAGAAGCUACCAAGCGUGUGUCAGAGAAAAGCUGACCGUCUGACUGCUACCCAGAGGAACAGGGAGACACAGGGACUUGUAAACAAGCCAGAGAUGGACUCAGCUGGGCUGAGGGGCACUUUGCUCUAAUGCAUUGUCCCUUUGAGAAACGAACGAACAACGGGCUGUUUUGGAGACACUGGCUCUGGGUCCCUGCAAAUGGGAAAUGUCCCAGGCUCUCGAAGGGAAACUCCUCGUGGUGCUCAAACUAGACUGACUCUGUGUCAUUAACACAAUUGGGAGCCAGGGAUCCAGCUUGACAGUGGUUGUACCCAAAGUGAGGGAGGAAACCAGGCCUGUCAUGUAAGGGGUGCACUGGAGAGGGACUGAAAGAGGCCCAAGGCACAGUUUACCCAGUAACUGGGACACUUUAUAAAUUAAAAAAACAAAACAAAACUUGAAUCCAUCAUAAUUCAUACUAUUUAUGCCCCUUCUUGACAAAGCAGACAGGCCAUGGGCUGAAAGGGUCUCUCUCAUGCAUAGAAGGUGUCUCUCCAGGGGAAGUCUGAGGCUCUUGGCACGUGGAGAGAGCUUGCAUUGUGGAUAGAAAACUUUUAAAAAAUUGCAAACUGUCACUUCAAAGCCGAAGGGAUUUUUUUACUCAUCCUGCGUACAGGGUAGGGGAUUCUAUAAGGAAGCAUGUGAUCAGAGUCAAUUCUUCAGAUAGCCAGUUUAGAGUAAAGUGGGACAAGUUGUGUCUCUCUCAUUUUUUGGGGAGCAGCCUGUUUUGUCUCUCUCUGAUUUGGGGUUCUUGUAUGUUAUUGUUCAGAAUGGUAAGAUAUAAAGCAGUGCUACAUUGCAAUCUUUCAGCAAAAGUAUUUUUGUUCUUAUUUAACUUCUCUGUAUGUAUACCGUGUACAUACCAA